GGGGUUGUGGCUCAGAGGCAGAGUGCUUGCCUAGCAUGCAUGAGGCACUGGGUUUGAUCCUCAGCACCA
rnacentral:tRNA from 1 species